UACAGAGGUCCCGAGCGUUGUUCGGAUUUAUUGGGCGUAAAGGGUGCGUAGGCGGCGGAGUAAGUUGGGUGUGAAAUCCCGAGGCUCAACCUCGGAAUUGCAUUCAAUACUGCUUCGCUCGAGUACUGGAGAGGAGGCUGGAAUUUACGGUGUAGCAGUGAAAUGCGUAGAGAUCGUAAGGAAGACCAGUGGCGAAGGCGGGUCUCUGGACAGUUCCUGACACUGAGGCACGAAGGCCAGGGGAGCAAACGGG
rnacentral:rRNA from 1 species